UGAGAACGGCCUGCAGGGGGCGCAAGGAUUCACUUCUCUCUUGGACACUGACGGGUCUCGACACGCAAAUUCUGCUCCUGGCGUUGGCCGUCAGUGGAAGAGCGUAGCUUCGGUGGAUUUUGUGACGAGCGGAUUUACAAUGAGGGAAUGCUGUGAACGGGAAAAAUGAUGGUGAGUGUCUUUUUCACUCUUUUCAAGUGUUUGUUUUCCUCUGUUGCCCAGCAGUCGUACAAUUUGUGCUGACGUGUUCUGACAUGCCCCGAUAUGCAUGCUUUCCUGUGUUGACGUUUUGUAAUUUUUCUCUUUUGACAAGGAACAUUGUUGUCUUGACGAUAGUGCUGCCCUGAGUUCUGCGCUCCUGUUUACCUGUACUCUGUGUUGAUUUGUUGAGUACCUAGUCCUCUUAUUUGCCGUUGAUGGAGUUACGUGUUAGGAUAUUUUGUUCUUUUGCAAGUCUCAUUUAGUAAGACUUUGGAAUUCCUACGAUCAGCUUUCAUGCAUGGUGCUCUUCUGCAAUAGUUUCCUAUUCAGUUGUUAUAGAAUAAUAAAGGAAAUAAUCUUGGGAUAGUGAUUCAAUAAAUAAUAUGUCCCCUGUCUAGAGCGUACGCGUCCUUGAGCCACGCAGCUGCAUGAUGACGUCAUACUGUGGCUUCAUUGUAGAUUGACCAAAGGAGCAUUAGUGGAAAAAAACAGGGUAGCCCUGAGACAAUAGGAUGACGUCACGACCAAUGAGAA